UGGAAAUGGAAGGUAACCUUGGCACUUUUAUAAGUGUCAUUGAAAUGGAGUUCAGACAUUGGCACUUACAUUAAGCGUCAUUGAAUUUACUAGUAUAUAUUUCUUUCUUUUUCCUCAUCCUAACACAUUACACUCUCAUCCCAACCCUUGGAGCCCUAAGCCAGGACAAUCACCCACAUCUUCAACCACCACCAGCACUAAUCGAUGAGAAAAUGUUACGAACAUGUUGAAGUGUCUGGGUUGCACGCAGACCACCAGGCUAUGCUUUUAUCGACUUUGAUGACCGAUUGCAAGGUUUUGUCAUAUGUUGACAAGGUUUGUGGGUUUGUAAAAUAUAGUCUAGAUUAUGUGUUAAGAACAAGAAACCAAUUAUACCAAUUUUAUUAUUUAUUUCUCAAGUUAGUCUACCAAUGUAGGUUUAGAGUACGUCACUUAACAAAAGCUAUCCAAAUUCGUGAGCAUACCAUAUUUAUGUGGAGUUUGUUGUAGAUUUAUAAUAAGUUAAAAGAAACUAUUGUCUUUUCAAUGCCUUCUUCAACCUUGCGCACUCUACCUUAUACAAAGAAAAGAAAGAGGAUAGGUCAUUUCUAAUUUUUGUUUUUUAAGUGGACCUUCAUUUAAAGUAUUUGAGGUCUCUUUCAAUAUUAAAUGUAUAUAUUAUUUUAUUACUAAAAGUUACUCUAGAUGGUUGAGUGACUACACAACUAAUCCUAAUUUAAAAAUAUAAAAGUUUUGAGUCUUUUUUAUGUGGGUUCAUAAAUGUGUUCUCCUUCCCUCUUUAUUACGUUUCUAUUUUUUUUCUUUUUUCUUUUAUAAAAAAACAAGAGAUCCAACUUUCAAUGUUUUUUAAUAAUAUAUCUUCAUUAUUAUUGAAUGGAAUGAGAUGUAGUGAUUAGACAAAGUGGUCUUCUAUUGUUGAUACAGGAAAACAAGUUAUCAUUUUAUAUGACAAUUAGGAGUAGAAGGUAAUGAUUGUGACAACUAGGAGUAGAGGGCAAGAUGCACAUAAGACAUUGUUUUUAAAGGCAAGUAUCUCCUCUAUUUAUAAAGGUAAUCCACCACUACACUAGAAACUUCUCUCUUAAAGAUAGAAUAGCUUGAAAGGAUGACUAAAUAGAAGAUAAAAUUUUAUUUCUAUUACUUUACAAAUUAAUUAUUUACUUUUAUAAUUGCAUAGGAGUUAUAUGUUAUCCUAAACAAGACAAUGAUACAUUUCAUGGUUUUAUUGAAAUAAAAUAUAAAAAGAAGUUUAUUUUCCUAUCCUUGGAUUCUUAUCAUACACUUACCUAAUGAUUUAUAUUUUCAAAAACUUUGAACAAGCACCUCUUAUCAACUCAAUAAAAUUAAAAGUCAAAGGAACUAAAAUAAAAGUAAAAACUAAUCAAGUAAAUAAAAAAUAAAAAUAUAAGAAAUUAAUAUUAACAUAGUGAUAGUAAGAUGGUUUCCAUCUUAUUUGGACCUUGGUAUUAUUUUUAACUGUGCAUAGUAGGUCUUAUGUUAUUCUUUUAUUUGAUAAUGUUUUAAGAGUUCUUUAUUAAAAGUCCAUAAGGAGCUUCCCCAACUCCUAUGCUUUAUUAAUUAGCUUUGAGGUUUGCAUUUGUUAAUAUUGAAAGAAACUAUGUGUUUCUUUCUUAUGAAGUAGGCAACUAUUAUCAUUGUAAUUCUUAAAAUUGAUGCUUUUGACGUUACUUGUUGGGAACAUGCAAGUAAGUCUGCUAGUUGAAUAUUCAUGUUGAUCCACUAAGGGCAUAUUUGAGUGCAUUUUUUUCUUCUAUUAUUUUUCUUUCAUGAACUUUAUAUUAAUAAAUCAACAUCGGAAUAAACAAGAGUUCAAGUUCAUUGCAUUGCUUUUUAAAUAUAUAACUUAAUUAAUUCAUCUUUCAUUUGCUUCAAUUUUUUAUUGACUGCCAUUUUUAUUUUUAUUAAUAAGUUUGAACUCGAUAAUGAAUCAAUUUUCAAAUCUCAUGUAUGAUUGUUUGAACAUUCAUCAGCCAGUAUAUGAUUAUGUAAAUUUUGUUGAAUUUUAAAUUUCAUCAUCCAGUUAGAUUUGGUUAAAACUCUUCAUAAUAUACAUUAGUUUUUCUUGUAAAUUAUUUUGAAUUCUUUUUCUUAUAAUUUUCUCAUUUUCUUGUAGUGGCUAUUUUGUGAAAAAUUAAAUUUGUCAAUGUUUAUUUAUUUAUUUAUUUUUAAUUAACCUCUUUUGAUUUAUGUUACUCUAAUGUUAUUGAUAACCU